rnacentral:rRNA from 1 species
AGUGAACGCUGGCGGUAGGCCUAACACAUGCAAGUCGAACGGCAGCACAGUAAGAGCUUGCUCUUACGGGUGGCGAGUGGCGGACGGGUGAGGAAUACAUCGGAAUCUACUUUUUCGUGGGGGAUAACGUAGGGAAACUUACGCUAAUACCGCAUACGACCUACGGGUGAAAGCAGGGGAUCUUCGGACCUUGCGCGAUUGAAUGAGCCGAUGUCGGAUUAGCUAGUUGGCGGGGUAAAGGCCCACCAAGGCGACGAUCCGUAGCUGGUCUGAGAGGAUGAUCAGCCACACUGGAACUGAGACACGGUCCAGACUCCUACGGGAGGCAGCAGUGGGGAAUAUUGGAUAAAGGGCGCAAGCCUGAUCCAGCCAUACCGCGUGGGUGAAGUAGGCCUUCGGGUUGUAAAGCCCUUUUGUUGGGAAAGAAAAGCAGCAGGUUAAUACCCCGCUGUUCUGACGGUACCCAAAGAAUAAGCACCGGCUAACUUCGUG